rnacentral:rRNA from 1 species
UGAGGAAUUUUGCGCAAUGGGAGCAAUCCUGACGCAGCAACGCCGCGUGGGUGAUGAAGGCCUUCGGGUCGUAAAGCCCUGUCAGGUGGGAAGAAUGUCCCGGGACUGAACAGGUUCCGGGAGUGACGGUACCACCAGAGGAAGCACCGGCUAACUCCGUGCCAGCAGCCGCGGUAAUACGGAGGGUGCAAGCGUUAUUCGGAAUUACUGGGCGUAAAGCGCGUGUAGGCGGGCCCGCAAGUCUGAUGUGAAAGCCCCGGGCUUAACCCGGGAAGUGCAUUGGAAACUGUGGGACUUGAGUACUGGAGAGGUUGGGGGAAUUCCCGGUGUAGAGGUGAAAUUCGUAGAGAUCGGGAGGAAUAUCAGUGGCGAAGGCGCCCAUCUGGACGGUAACUGACGCUGAGACGCGAAAGCGUGGGGAGCAAACA